UACGGAGGAGGCAAGCGUUAUCCGGAAUUAUUGGGCGUAAAGCGUCCGCAGGUGGCACCUCAAGUCUGCUGUCAAAGACCGGGGCUUAACCCCAGAAAGGCAGUGGAAACUGAAGUGCUAGAGUGCAGUAGGGGUAGAGGGAAUUUACGGUGUAGCGGUGAAAUGCGUAGAAUAUCGUAAGGAAGACCAGUGGCGAAGGCGGGUCUCUGGACAGUUCCUGACACUGAGACACGAAGGCCAGGGGAGCAAACGGG
rnacentral:rRNA from 1 species